GGUUGGAAUUGACUCAUAGCGCAUGCGCGGGGAUCCCGUCGCGCCGGAUGUGAGGCGUUGCAGCGGCGUCGCGGCGGCCGUGGAGCGGGUGCCCGGUGUGUGGGGACCAGAAGGUGACAAAGGCGAUCGAUGAGGGUGGGGCAGUGGAUGUUGUCUACGUGGAUUUUAAUCCUGGCUGGAGGUCUACCAGUGCAGUUAGCAGGGAUCUGUGCUGGGAUUUCUGUUUGCGAUAUAUAUAAAAGAUUUGGACAUAAAUGAAGAUGGGUUGAUUCGUCAGUUUGCAGAUGACACCAGAAUUGGUGAAAUUGUGGCUGGUGAGGAAGGCUCUCAAAGUAUAUAGCAGGAUAUAGAUCAGCUACAGGAACGGGUGGAGAAAUAGCAAUUGGAAAUUGACCUGCACAUUGGGAGGUCGACUAUAAGGGGAAAGUAUACAGUUAACGGCAAGACCCUUAACAACACUAAUGUACAGAUAUUGGGGUCCAGGUCCAUAACUCCAAAAGUUGCAACACAAGUAGAUGGAGUUGUAAAAAAGGCAUAUGAUAUGCGUGCCAUUUUUAGUCAGGACAUUCAAUAUAAGUGUGUAAGAAGGAACUGCAGAUGCUGGUUUAAACCGAAGAUAAACACAAAAUGCUGGAGUAACUCAGCAGGACAGGCAGCAUCUCUGGAGAGAAGGAAUGGGUGAUGUUUCGGGUUGAGACCAUUCUAUCUGAAGAAGGGUGUCCAUCCGAAAUGUCACCCAUUCCUUCACUCCAGAGAUGCUGCCUGUCCUGAUGUGUCUAUCAUUGAAUAUAAGUGUCAGGAAAUCAUAUUACAGCUUUAUGGGACUUUGGUUAAGCAGCAUUUGAAGUAUAGUAAGCAGUUCAGGUCGUCCUGUUAUAAGAAGGAUGUGGAGGCUUUGGGGAGUGUGCAGAAGAGGUUCACCAGGAUGCUGCCUGGAUUAGAGGGGAUUGAGCACUAAGGAGGAGAAGUUGAAUUAAUUUGCAUUGCUCUUUCUGGAGCAUCAGAGAUUGAGAGGAGAACUGAUAGCAAUAUGUAACAUUGAGAGGCAAAGAUAUGGUAGAGAAUCAGAACCUUUUUCCCAGAGUGGAAAUAUCAAGGACGAGUGGGCAUCGUUUUAAGGCAAUACGGGAAAAAUUUAAAGGAGAUGUGUGGGGCACGUUUUUUUUAUACACAGAGGGCGGUAAGUGUCUGGAACUCAUGGCUGGGGUGGUGAUGGAAGCAGAUAUGAUAAAGGCGUUUGAGGUUUUUAAAUAGGCACAUGGCUAUGCAGGGUGUGAAGGGAUAUGGAUCACGUGCAAGCAGAGGAGAUUAGUUUAACUUGGCAUCAUGUUUGGCACGGACAUUGUGGGCCAAAGGGCCUGUUCCUGUGCUGUAUUGUUCUAGGUUCCAUGAAGUUCUUUGCAGGGAACCAGAUCUACUGCAGAUUAAUGGGUAUGGUGCUAUUUUAGUAGGUACAUAAUGUCAUUUGUUAAGAUGCAGAAAUUAGAAUGUAAGUUAACUUGUGUUGACAGUAUGUAGCAUAAAAAUAAAAACAUUGUUCAUGCAAUUUUACUUGCUAAUAAUGUGCCCAGAGGCUUUUCCAAACAAAUCUCUUUGCAAAAGGCAAAUAUUAAGAUCUCUGUUCUAGUAUCGUAUAUAGUCCUUUACAUGAUAUAGUGAAAUACAUAUCCUUUUCAGGCAGUCAUGUAAUCACAAAAUUGUAUCAUGCUCUUCUUUUAUUAGUA